rnacentral:rRNA from 1 species
AGAUUGAACGCUGGCGGCAUGCCUUACACGUGCAAGUCGAACGGUAGAGUAGCAAUACUCGAGAGUGGCGAACGGGUGAGUAAUAUAUCGGAACGUGCCCAGUCGUGGGGGAUAACGUAGAGAAAUUUACGCUAAUACCGCAUACGAUCUACGGAUGAAAGCGGGGGAUUCGCAAGAACCUCGCGCGAUUGGAGCGGCUGAUAUCAGAUUAGGUUGUUGGUGAGGUAAAAGCUCACCAAGCCGACGAUCUGUAGCUGGUUUGAGAGAACGACCAGCCACACUGGGACUGAGACACGGCCAGACUCCUACGGGAGCAGCAGUAGGAAUAUUGGAC